rnacentral:rRNA from 1 species
UACGUAGGUGACAAGCGUUGUCCGGAUUUACUGGGCGUAAAGAGCGCGCAGGCGGUCGUUCAAGUCGAGUGUGAAAGCCCCUGGCUCAACUGGGGAGGGUCAUUCGAUACUGAUCGACUCGAAGGCAGGAGAGGGAAGUGGAAUUCCCGGUGUAGUGGUGAAAUGCGUAGAUAUCGGGAGGAACACCAGUGGCGAAGGCGACUUCCUGGCCUGUUCUUGACGCUGAGGCGCGAAAGCUAGGGGAGCAAACGGG